rnacentral:rRNA from 1 species
UCUAAGGAGACUGCCGGUGGACAAACCGGAGGAAGUGGGGAUGACGUCAAGUCAUCAUGGCCCUUUACGGCCUGGGCUACACACGUGCUACAAUGGUCGGUACAAAGGGUUGCCAAGCCGCGAGGUGGAGCUAAUCCCAUAAAACCGAUCGUAGUCCGGAUCGCAGUCUGCAACUCGACUGCGUGAAGUCGGAAUCGCUAGUAAUCGUGAAUCAGAAUGUCACGGUGAAUACGUUCCCGGGCCUU